AUGGUCACGUGAGCUGGCAUAGGAGAGUGCUCUGUGAGUCUCAGUGCCUUCAGUGGCAUCAUUGCACUGUGACUGUGCAGGUCCCAAACAGUAUGGACAUGAAUGUCCUCAAGCUGCAUGUUAGCAGGGCUUCUAAUUCCAUCUGCAAGUGAUAGUGUGUGGAGCUUAGUCGCACAGAGCGCAUGUUACUGGAGGAGAUAUGGGUCUGUGUCAUCCUGCAUGGGAAUGAUCCUAAAAACAAAGUGAUCAGUGACUGCUCAGGACUGUGGAAAAGUCACCUGGAGCAGUGGGAAAAGAUAAAGCAAUACCUGCCCUGUCUUCCUAACCUUGGAGGGGUCAAAAAAGUCAUGGGUGUGAAAGCAUUUUGUAAACUGUAGUGCAAGCAUACGGCAGGGGAGUGAACCAUACUUUCA
rnacentral:antisense_RNA from 1 species